GACGAACGCUGGCGGCGUGCUUAACACAUGCAAGUCGAACGAAGUGGCGAACGGAUGAGUAAUACGUGGGUAACCUGCCCUCCUUUUUGGGAUAAGCCUUGGAAACGGGGUCUAAUACCGAAUAAAGGGGGUUGGGCUCGCGGCCUAUCAGCUUGUUGGGGGGGUGAUGGCCUACCAAGGCGGUGACGGGUAGCCGGCCUGAGAGGGUGACCGGCGACAUUGGGACUGUGGUACGGCCCAGACUCCUACGGGAGGCAGCAGUGGGGGAUAUGGCACAAUGGGCGAUAGUCUGAUGCAGCGACUCCGCGGGGGGGAUGAAGGCUUUCGGGUUGUAAACCUCUUUCGCUAUCUAAGGGGUAGGUGGAGAAGAAGCGCCGGGUAACUACGUGCCAGCAGCCGCGGUAAUAC
rnacentral:rRNA from 1 species